CCUACGGGGUGCAGCAGUGGGGAAUAUUGCGCAAUGGGCGAAAGCCUGACGCAGCGACGCCGCGUGAGGGAUGAAGGUCUUCGGAUCGUAAACCUCUGUCAGCAGGGAAGAACGGUCACUGUGCUAAUCAGCAGUGAAUUGACGGUACCUGCAAAGGAAGCACCGGCUAACUCCGUGCCAGCAGCCGCGGUAAUACGGAGGGUGCGAGCGUUAAUCGGAAUUACUGGGCGUAAAGCGCUCGUAGGCGGUAUGUCAAGUCAAGGGUGAAAUCCCCGCGCGCAACGUGGGAACUGCCUUUGAAACUGGCAAACUGGAGUGUGUGAGAGGAUAGUGGAAUUCGAGGUGUAGGAGUGAAAGCCGUAGAUAUCUGGAGGAACAUCAGUGGCGAAGGCGACUAUCUGGCACAUAACUGACGCUGAGGAGCGAAAGCGUGGGUAGCAAACAGGAUUAGAUACCCUGGUAGUC
rnacentral:rRNA from 1 species